rnacentral:tRNA from 1 species
GUGGUUUUAGUUUAAUGAAAAUAGUGAUUUGUCUAGUCAUAGAUAGUAGUUUAAUAACUAGGCCACU